rnacentral:tRNA from 1 species
UCCCUGGCAGUCCAGUGGCUAAGACUCUGUGCUCCCAACUCAAGGGGUCUAGGUUUGAUCCCUGGUCAGGGAA